ACUUCGGUACUGAUCCUAGCGGCGGACGGGUGAGUAAUGCUUAGGAAUCUGCCAUUUAGUGGGGGACAACAUUCCGAAAGGAAUGCUAAUACCGCAUACGUCCUACGGGAGAAAGCAGGGGAUCUUCGGACCUUGCGCUAAAUGAUGAGCCUAAGUCGGAUUAGCUAGUUGGUGGGGUAAAGGCCUACCAAGGCGACGAUCUGUAGCGGGUCUGAGAGGAUGAUCCGCCACACUGGGACUGAGACACGGCCCAGACUCCUACGGGAGGCAGCAGUGGGGAAUAUUGGACAAUGGGCGGAAGCCUGAUCCAGCCAUGCCGCGUGUGUGAAGAAGGCCUUUUGGUUGUAAAGCACUUUAAGCGAGGAGGAGGCUACCUGGAUUAAUACUCUGGGAUAGUGGACGUUACUCGCAGAAUAAGCACCGGCUAACUCUGUGCCAGCAGCCGCGGUAAUACAGAGGGUGCGAGCGUUAAUCGGAUUUACUGGGCGUAAAGCGUGCGUAGGCGGCUUUUUAAGUCGGAUGUGAAAUCCCCGAGCUUAACUUGGGAAUUGCAUUCGAUACUGGGAAGCUAGAGUAUGGGAGAGGAUGGUAGAAUUCCAGGUGUAGCGGUGAAAUGCGUAGAGAUCUGGAGGAAUACCGAUGGCGAAGGCAGCCAUCUGGCCUAAUACUGACGCUGAGGUACGGAAGCAUGGGGAGCAAACAGGAUUAGAUACCCUGGUAGUCCAUGCCGUAAACGA
rnacentral:rRNA from 1 species